AUAAAAAAAAUUUAAUCCACUUGUAAAAAAAAGAUUAUUCCUUAAAAAAGAAAAAAAAUGUUUGCAUGUUUAAUAUGUGAUAUAAUUUUUUUUUUUGAAAGUAAUAAAUAAAACAAAACAAUUAGAGGCUCACUCAAAAUAUCCCUCAGUCAAAAAUAGGCCCAAAUCAAAUUUAACAAAACAAGAAAAACCCUUAAUCUUUUAAUUGUACCAUUGGCUUCUCUGAAACUCUUCUCUCACGCUCACCAGCUCACCCGCUCACCCGCACACUCAGCCUCGGCAAGAACCAGGCGACCCCGGCAAGAACCAGGCAACCCCCCGUCGACGCAAGAACCAGGCCACCCCCCCGCCGACGCAAGAACCGGGCCACCCUGGGUAAACUAGGCAGACCUCAAUUGUUUAUGAGCUACUAUAGUUAAUUCAUUGACUGGGUUUCGUCUCCUUUGCUGCUACCCCAGCUACUAUAGUUAAUUCAGUGAAUGGGUUUCGUCUCCUCUGCUACUACCUCAUACAUUCAAGAAAUGAGGUCAAUUCCAUGUUCAAAAGAUUCUUAAUGCAUUAAUCCAUGUUUCAACCAUUUUAUCUGAGAGUUUGGAUUAUAUGUAUGGAGGAGAGAUUUUAUAUCUAAAAAUUGUAUUUCUUAUUUUCAUUUGGUAUUAUUAUUUUGGAAGACGAGUUAACAUGUUCUUGUGAACCUAAGUUUAUUGUUAUUUUAAUGGAAAAUCUAAGUUAGUUAUUUGAUGA